rnacentral:rRNA from 1 species
AUGGCCGGCCGCCUCCUCGCCGCCCCCCUCCUCCUCCUUGUGCUCCUCCAGCUCCCCGUGCCGUCCCAGGUGCGCGCGUACCCGCUCGCGGCGGCACACUCUGGUCGGUGCCCAAGGCCGGAGGAGAGGCCGCCGCCGUUCCUCCAGGGGCUCCGGCGAACCUGCCGCACCUCGACGGAGGGGCACCCGGCCGAGGAGGUUAAUGGGGAGGAACUUAUCAGAGAUUUGGGUGGAAAGGAGUACACUGCUGUCCUCUUCUAUGCAUCAUGGUGCCCUUUCUCUCAUAGAAUGAGACCAAUCUUCGACGAUCUUAGCUCAAUGUAUCCACAUAUUAAGCACUUGGCUGUAGAACAGUCCAACGUGAUGCCAACAGUUUUAUCAAGAUAUGGUGUCCGCAGCCUUCCUUCUAUACUAAUAGCUCAUGAGUCAUAUGCAUUUUGGCCUCUUGUUGCCAAAGAUCUCAACUCACUGGUCAACUUCUACUCUGCUGUUACUGGACAAGAACCAGUUGCAUAUCUUGGUCCACGGAAGUGGAACACAACCGAAAGAAGCACACAGUAUGUGAAGCUUUGGAAUGGUUCAGUCAGCGAAUCAGUGAAGAGCGAGCCCUACCUAGCAUUCAGCAUCCUCUUUAUUUUCCUAAGGAUAUUCUCGUUCUUCUUCCCAAAGUUCUUCGCCUGCAUCAAAGGCUUGUGGGCUCAAUACUUCCGGCACGCCAACUUUGGAGUCCUUGCCAAAUUGACGCAGCUGCUCGAAUGUGUGCCCCAUGCCGUGGAUGUAAGGAAGAUGUGGAGCAAAUGGAGGCUCAUGUUUGGAGCCAUAAACAUGAGAGUCUGGGCAUCAUCUCUUGCUUCCGUGUCUCUUGGUGGGCAAUCUUCUCCCCGAGCUGCUAGAUUGGAUUGA